UUAAUGAUAGGUAUAUCACAGUGUUGUGUACCAACUGCAGAAUUAUUGAGUCUAACUGUGCAUUCUCUUUUCACAGGAGCUCAACCAUCUACCCUUCCCUCUCUACAUUCCUGCUGCUUCCUCUCUCCUUCCAUUCGUCUUCCUCGCUCACAGGGCCUCAGAGCUAUCGCAGCUGGAUCCAGGUGACGGGACUUCUGUGUCACUGGUCAGGGCCCAGGGAUGUGGAGGAGAGUGCAGCUGUUCCAUGUUUCCUCUGAGAAAGGCAUGGACAACCCACCUUCCCCUCCACCGUGGAAAAGACCUUGAUAUCACUGGCCAUUGAAUUCAGCCUGAUUGGGCCACAAAAG